AGCAGCCGCGGUAAUUCCAGCUCCAAUAGCGUAUAUUAAAGUUGUUGCAGUUAAAAAGCUCGUAGUUGAAUUUCGGGGUCAAUAAGUUGGUCAUGCCAAUGGUAUGCACUGGCUUUAUUGAUUCCUACCUCUUGACGAACUGUGAUGCCAUUAAUUUGGUGUUGCAAGGAAUCAGGACUGUUACCUUGAAAAAAUUAGAGUGUUUAAAGCAAGCUUACGCUUGAAUACAUUAGCAUGGAAUAAUGAAAUAGGACGUUUGAUCCUAUUUUGUUGGUUUCUAGGAUCGACGUAAUGAUUAAUAGGGAUAGUUGGGGGCAUUAGUAUUCAAUUGUCAGAGGUGAAAUUCUUGGAUUUAUUGAAGACUAACUACUGCGAAAGCAUUUGCCAAGGAUGUUUUCAUUAAUCAAGAACGAAAGUUAGGGGAUCGAAGACGAUCAGAUACCGUCGUAGUCUUAACCAUAAACUAUGCCGACUAGGGAUCGGAUGAUGUUAAUUUUU
rnacentral:rRNA from 1 species